GAAACGGUAGCUAAUACCGCAUAACGUCGCAAGACCAAAGAGGGGGACCUUCGGGCCUCUUGCCAUCGGAUGUGCCCAGAUGGGAUUAGCUAGUAGGUGGGGUAAAGGCUCACCUAGGCGACGAUCCCUAGCUGGUCUGAGAGGAUGACCAGCCACACUGGAACUGAGACACGGUCCAGACUCCUACGGGAGGCAGCAGUGGGGAAUAUUGCACAAUGGGCGCAAGCCUGAUGCAGCCAUGCCGCGUGUAUGAAGAAGGCCUUCGGGUUGUAAAGUACUUUCAGCGGGGAGGAAGGGAGUAAAGUUAAUACCUUUGCUCAUUGACGUUACCCGCAGAAGAAGCACCGGCUAACUCCGUGCCAGCAGCCGCGGUAAUACGGAGGGUGCAAGCGUUAAUCGGAAUUACUGGGCGUAAAGCGCACGCAGGCGGUUUGUUAAGUCAGAUGUGAAAUCCCCGGGCUCAACCUGGGAACUGCAUCUGAUACUGGCAAGCUUGAGUCUCGUAGAGGGGGGUAGAAUUCCAGGUGUAGCGGUGAAAUGCGUAGAGAUCUGGAGGAAUACCGGUGGCGAAGGCGGCCCCCUGGACGAAGACUGACGCUCAGGUGCGAAAGCGUGGGGAGCAAACA
rnacentral:rRNA from 1 species